rnacentral:lncRNA from 1 species
CCCACCCCCCGAAAAAUGAGAAAAGCAGGAAGUGAAGGCCACACACGCCGUCUCAGUCCUGGCUGUCAUGCAACUCACUCUGGAGACCAGGCUGGCUUUGAACUCACAGAGAUCCACCUGCCUCUGCCUCCCGAGUGUUGGGAUUAAAGGUGUGCGCCACCAACGCCCCGCCCGGCCACACAGCUUCUGUAUUGUCUCCAUCUCCCUGGCUUCUGGACGACUAAUGGAGGAGCAGGUGCCUGUGCAGGGGGGAAAACUCAUCGUCAAUGAGACACGUAGGAUCCUCCUCCUCUUCCUUGACUCUUCAGAACAGAACCCACUCCUCCCACCCUGCCUCUGUCACUGGAGGGAAUGCAAGGCUCCUUUUCCACUGCUGGGAAGAGACACCAUGACCGAGGCCACUUACAGAAGAGUUUGUGUGGGGCUUGCAGUUGUCAGAGGAGGACCCAGGUUCUAAUCACAGCACCCACAAGAAGGCUCACAACCAUCCGUAACUCCAGUUCCAGGGGAUCUCACUCCCUCUCCCUGAACUCUUUGGACACUGCUUGCUUGUGCUUCAUAAACAUACGUGCAGGAGAAACAUCCAUACACAUUAAAUAAAAAAAAAUAAUUUGAUUUAGGGGCUGGAGAGAUGGCUCAGCAGUUAAGAGCACUGGCUGUUCUUCCAGGGGUUCUGAGUUCAAUUCCCAGCAAUCACGUGGUGGCUCACAACCACCUGUAGUGAGAUCUGGUGCCCUCUUCUGGCCUGCAGGCAGAAGACUGUAUACAUAAUAAAUAAAUCUUUAUAAAAAUAAUGUAAUUUAGCCGGGCAUUGGUGGCGCACGCCUUUAGUCCCAG